rnacentral:lncRNA from 1 species
CACUCCUCGAUCUUCCGGCGACUCCAGCUCUCUUCGGUCGACUCCAGCUUCGUCUCGUCGACGGCGAAGUUCCUAUACCUCGCUCUCUUCCCUUUCCGGCUAGCGCAGCAAGCUAGCAGAUGCGCGAUCAUGGCUUGCGAUUGCCGCUCAUCCUCCAUUGUUGUCUCCUCCAGUCAAGCUAUUGCUGGCAGCAGUGGGUUUUGGCUUUGAAGUUCACUUCCGGUCACUUUAAUCGGAAAAUCUCAGUCUUUCAGUGCGUUUUUCAGCUGGGUAAGUCGAAUUUCACCCUUCUUUAAUACAUUUAAUGAAUUCUUUGAACAAGGGUAUAGGAUUUGAUGCAUAAAUCAAGUUGGGUAGAGUUUAAACCCCUAAAUUAGCUACUAUUUAAGUGUAAAUAAUUAGAAGCUUUGAUUUUACUAUUUUAAGUUGAAUUAUAAACUGACUUUCCA